rnacentral:misc_RNA from 1 species
UCAUAUCCUCACCAGCAUCUG